CCAUUGAAAUGGAAAUGAUGUACAAGAAUGGUGAUCGUAUUCAAGUAUGGGUGAAAGGAAGCUAGCAUUUUAUUAUGGGAGAAACAUGUAAAAUAUCAGGGGCCAAAAGAUCCAAAAGAAGAUGAUACGGAGAUCAAACAGUAAAGAGAAACUCCCAUAACAUUGAC